rnacentral:rRNA from 1 species
CGUGUAGGCGGUAGUAGAAGUCUGGUGAGAAAUACCCCGGCUCAACCGGGGAACCGCGCUGGAAACUGUGCUACUAGAGUUUAGGAGGGGGAGCUGGAAUUCCUGGUGUAGGGGUGAAAUCUGUAGAGAUCAGGAAGAACACCGGAGGCGAAGGCGAGCUCCUGGCCAUAGACUGACGCUGAAGCGCGAAAGCGUGGGGAGCGAACAGGAUUAGAUACCCUGGUAGUCC